ensembl:rRNA 5S_rRNA 5S ribosomal RNA
GUCUACGGCCAUAUGACCCUGAAUGCGCACGAUCUUGUCUGAUCUCAGAAGCUAAGCAGGAUCUGGCCUGGUUAGUACUUGGAUGGGAGACCACCUGGGAAUACUGGGUACUGUAGGCU